CCCGCAAGGGAUUUGUAGCGUGGCAAACGGGUGAGUAACACGUGGGUGACCUGCCUUCGAGCGGGGGAUAACGUCCCGAAAGGGACGCUAAUACCGCAUGACAUCCUGCUUUUGAACAAGCGGAGAUCAAAGCCGGGGAUCGCAAGACCUGGCACUCGAAGAGGGGCCCGCGCCUGAUUAGCUAGUUGGUGAGGUAACGGCUCACCAAGGCAACGAUCAGUAUCCGGCCUGAGAGGGCGGACGGACACACUGGGACUGAGACACGGCCCAGACUCCUACGGGAGGCAGCAGUGGGGAAUUGUUCGCAAUGGGCGCAAGCCUGACGACGCAACGCCGCGUGGAGGAUGAAGACCUUCGGGUCGUAAACUCCUUUCGAUCGAGACGAACGGCUUCCGGGUUAAUACUCCGGAAGAGUGACGGUACCGAGAGAAGAAGCCCCGGCUAACUCCGUGCCAGCAGCCGCGGUAAUACGGGGGGGGCAAGCGUUGUUCGGAAUUACUGGGCGUAAAGGGCUCGUAGGUGGCCAACUAAGUCAGACGUGAAAUCCCUCAGCUUAACUGGGGAACUGCGUCUGAUACUGGAUGGCUGGAGUUUGGGAGAGGGAUGCGGAAUUCCAGGUGUAGCGGUGAAAUGCGUAGAUAUCUGGAGGAACACCGGUGGCGAAGGCGGCAUCCUGGACCAACACUGACGCUGAUGAGCGAAAGCCAGGGGAGCAAACGGGAUUAGAUACCCCGGUAGUCCUGGCCCUAAAC
rnacentral:rRNA from 1 species